UCUUGGUCAUUUAGAGGAAGUAAAAGUCGUAACAAGGUUUCCGUAGGUGAACCUGCGGAAGGAUCAUUAACGAGUUUUAAAGCGGUUUGAUGCUGGCCCUCACGGGCAUGUGCUCGACCCUCUAAUCCACUCAACCCCUGUGCACACUCGAGACGUCGUCCCCCGUCACUGGAGCCGCUCCUCGUCGCAAGACGGGUCGAGUCGGGGCGAUGCCUCCAUUUACAAACGCAUAUAGUCAACUGUAAAGUUAAUUAUUUAACAAAAUACAACUUUCAACAACGGAUCUCUUGGCUCUCGCAUCGAUGAAGAACGCAGCGAAAUGCGAUAAGUAAUGUGAAUUGCAGAAUUCAGUGAAUCAUCGAAUCUUUGAACGCACCUUGCGCUCCUUGGUAUUCCGAGGAGCAUGCCUGUUUGAGUGUCAUGAAAUCAUCAACCUUUGGCGCUWGCGUCUUAGGAUUGGACUUGGGGGCUGUCGGCUUCGCUCGACUCUCCUUGAAUGCAUUAGCUCGGUCUAGCUCGAGUGCUUCACGGCGUGAUAAUUAUCUACGUCUCGAGGUGCUCUUGCGGUCGGCUUCUAAUCGUCCGCAAGGACAACACUUGACAAUCUGACCUCAAAUCAGGUAGGACUACCCGCUGAACUUAAGCAUAUCAAUAAGCGGAGGAAAAGAAACUAACAAGGAUUCCCCUAGUAACUGCGAGUGAAGCGGGAAAAGCUCAAAUUUAAAAUCUGGCGGCUCUGCCGUCCGAGUUGUAAUCUGGAGAAAG
rnacentral:rRNA from 1 species